rnacentral:snoRNA from 1 species
GCAUGGGUUUGGAUUUAUGACAGGCCUGUCCUCUAGGGCCACUCGUAGUACCCCAUGCCAGAGCAAACAAUGGCCCCAAACCAUUGUCUGGCCUCUGCCCAUAGGUUGCUGGCACUGAAGCAAGUUGCACGGUU